UCUCGUUAGGAAGAACUUUUCUUCUCCAAUUUUCUGCUGUAUAACCAGCAGAGGAGCCUCUCUUUGAUGUCCAAAAAUUAGCAAGCAAAACCUCACAAAAUCACAUCAAGAUGGGGAGGAGAGGAGGGGGUAGGCAUGUGGAGUUUGGGCAACCACAAAAGAGGGAUGCCUCUUUUCUUUUGAUAUUAGGGCUUGAUCCAAUCAAGUCUAUUAUUCAAUAGGAU
rnacentral:lncRNA from 1 species